rnacentral:rRNA from 1 species
AGCCAGUUCGAAACGCGAAAAGUUCUCCUUUCNAGGGGCACAAGGUAGGAGUGGGCGCNCGNCCCCUUUUUAAAAACGAUAGGUAAUCGUACUCUUCNCGAUGGGAGAAUAACACCUNNGAAACGGUUGCAUAAUACCGCAUAAUGCAGNGGUNCCUAAUGGUGACAGUUGUUAAAGCGGGGGAUCGAAAGACCUCGCGUCUGAAGAGGAGCCUGCGGNGGAUUANCUAGUUGGUAAGGUAAUGGCUUACCAAGGCGACGAUCCGUAACCGGCCUGAGAGGGCGGUCGGUCACACUGACACUGACAUACGGGUCAGACUCCUACGGGAGGCAGCAGUCGGGAAUUUUGGGCAAUGGGCGAAAGCCUGACCCAGCAACGCCGCGUGAAGGAUGAAAUCCUUCGGGAUGUAAACUUCGCAAGAACGGGAAGAAUAAGUCUGUGUAAAUACCACAGAUGAUGACGGUACCGUUUGUAAGCUCCGGCUAACUCCGUGCCAGCAGCCGCGGUAAUACGGGGGGAGCAAGCGUUGUUCGGAUUUACUGGGCGUAAAGGGCGCGUAGGCGGUCAGCACAAGUNCAGUUGUGAAAUCUCCGAGCUUAACUCGGGAAAGGNCAACUGAUNCUGUUGCGACUUANAGUGCAGAAGGGGCAACUGNGAAUUCUUGGUGUAGNGGUGAAAUGCGUCGAUAUCAAGAGGAACACCUGCGGCGAAAGGCUGGNUUGCUGGGGCUGACACUGANCUCUGANGNGCGAAAGCUANGGGUAGCGAACGGGUAUUUAGAUU